rnacentral:rRNA from 1 species
UCUUUUCCUUUUUUUCCAGCAGCCGCGGUAAUACGGAAGGUCCGGGCGUUAUCCGGAUUUAUUGGGUUUAAAGGGAGCGUAGGCCGGAGAUUAAGCGUGUUGUGAAAUGUAGAGGCUCAACCUCUGCACUGCAGCGCGAACUGGUCUUCUUGAGUACGCACAACGUGGGCGGAAUUCGUGGUGUAGCGGUGAAAUGCUUAGAUAUCACGAAGAACUCCGAUUGCGAAGGCAGCUCACGGGAGCGCAACUGACGCUGAAGCUCGAAAGUGCGGGUAUCGAACAGG